GGAUUAUCGACUGUACCCAUUUCUUCCCAUUGCAAGAGCAUAGUACAAAUGUUUGUCGUUCGUAAGAGAUUGCAUGGCGAAUGCCUUUCCUUGCUUAAGUAUUUUCAGCAAGCACCAAGGAGGAAGGCGUGAGUUCAGAAACACCUUGAGCUAUACCAGUUGUCCAAGGCGAUCAAGCCUAUCUGUGACUGUUAUUACAUCAACAAGCAUUAUUCGGCUGGCCAAAUCUAUUUCAUCUUCAACACUGUCAGGUUGGAGUUGCAGUUACC
rnacentral:lncRNA from 1 species